rnacentral:rRNA from 1 species
GGGGAAUAUUGGACAAUGGACCAAGAGUCUGAUCCAGCAAUUCUGUGUGCACGAUGACGUUUUUCGGAAUGUAAAGUGCUUUCAGUUGGGAAGAAAAAAAUGACGGUACCAACAGAAGAAGUGACGGCUAAAUACGUGCCAGCAGCCGCGGUAAUACGUAUGUCACAAGCGUUAUCCGGAUUUAUUGGGCGUAAAGCGCGUCUAGGUGGUUAUGUAAGUCUGAUGUGAAAAUGCAGGGCUCAACUCUGUAUUGCGUUGGAAACUGUGUAACUAGAGUACUGGAGAGGUAAGCGGAACGACAAGUGUAGAGGUGAAAUUCGUAGAUAUUUGUAGGAAUGCCGAUGGGGAAGCCAGCUUACUGGACAGAUGCUGACGCUGAAGCGCGAAAGCGUGGGUAGCAAACAGGAUUAGAUACCCUGGUAGUCCACGCCGUAAACGAUGAUUACUAGGUGUUGGGGGUCGAACCUCAGCGCCCAAGCAAACGCGAUAAGUAAUCCGCCUGGGGAGUACGUACGCAAGUAUG